UGCUUCCAAGGAGAUCUUAGUUCCAGAUGAGGCAUAAGUCAUGACAGCAUUUUACCAUGUUAGUGAAUUAUAGAAGAGUCAAUGGACUGAGCCUGAGGAGACCUGAGUUCAAGUCCAGACUCUAUUCCAUUUGGGAGUGAUUUUUACGUAUCAUGUGAGAUUAACUGUAAUAAUUGACAUUCACCCCCUGGAGCUGGGAUAGAAAGCCGAUUUACAGCAUCGCUGAGCAGGAAAAAAGAGAUGGCUGUUGAACAGGAGGCAACAUGCAAUGACAUAAUUAAGUACAUGUGCGGGUUUGGCAUAUGGGUAAAUUGCAUGUCACAGUUGUUUGGUGUACACAUUAUUUCAUCACCCAGUUGUUAAUGGAAUUCUAGCCAAAAGGAUGUGGGAGGAGAGGAAGGAGCCACAAAGGGAGAAUCAUGCCUAAGAGUUAACUAUGGUACUCUGAAGCAGAACAGAGGUAUGUGUUAAAUUUUUAUACUGUAAGUAUAAUUCCUUUGAAAAUUUUGAUGUCUCCUGAGAUAUUAUACAAUGACUCAUUAUUGAAAUAAUAUGAAAUAGAAUAAAAAAUGCACUUUGUGACUUCUAACUGACAUGCACUCAUCUCUAUUUCCCCUAAGUCAACAAUUUUAUUUAAUCUACCUUGAAAAGAAAAAACAAAUCUGAAAUUCAAAAGGCUACAAAUUUGGGUCCAGGUCAUACUAGAGCAAGUAAAGGCAGGUAUAAUUUAAUUAAUUUUUAAUUUAUCUCUGGUGGUCACGGUUGUUGGGAGUCAGAUGUGGGGGAUUUGGGCAGCCAUGUGCUGCCAUUGCCAUGGAGAACAGAACUGCCUAAGCUGAUGAGCAGUGAGAAACAGAAUUUAGAGAAGAAACAGGAAGUCCUAGCUACAUGCAGGUCCUGGUUCAUAUGGUUUCUGAGUUGAGCCUUCCUUGGAUUCCAUGAACCAGUUUGCCAGUUAUUUACCUAUUAUCUCUCAGCUUCAAUCAGCCCUUCUGUAUUCUGCAAACUGCAUUUCCCAGGCCCCUCUGCUAGCUGGCUUCCCAUGAGCUUAUAAGAGGCACUAAAGGACAUAAGAAUGCCCAAGGGAAAGAGCCUGUCCUUUCUGUUUUCUGUUUUUGGCAGCAUCUUUGCACUAGUGGCAGUUGGCUGCAGCUUCCAGUGUCUUGGCCCCUGAGUAGCAGCCUUAGCACAGGCCCCCAGAGGCGCCAACAGCAGCUGGAAGGGAGCUGCCUCUUCCUCAGCAAUCUUAGUCCACAGAGCACCUCCCCUGAAAUCCAUGGCCCUGGGAACAUACUCCUUCUAUUCUGUUUCCCCAGCGUUCCCCCUCCUAGAGGAGGUAGUUUCUUCCUGCAGUUACCAUUUCUGAGUUAGUUCAGGGUCCCUUUUUUGCCCUUUCAUGCUUCCAACAUCUGUGAAACUAUUUCCUCUACUAUAUAUGAUUCCCUCAGAUAACUAAGUGUGAUAUUUAUUUUUCUGAGUGAUACAUAAAUAACUCCCCCUUGUCUAGGUAGUUUAAACUAAAUUGAUUUCUUGCAAUCAAAUUGCUCUUGACCAACACAAGUACACUUUAUGGUUACUGAGUAGAACAGCAAAACAAACACAGAGUGUUUUUUACUUGCUUAUUGUCUGUCUCCCUACAAUAGAAUGAAUAUAAAGUGUUGAACUGCUUUAUAUACAUGAUUUUAUUUAAUACUCUCCUUGCUGUGAGGUCGGUGUAUUGAUCAAAGAGGUCUGCUUCAGCAUUCAUUUCUACCCCUUCACAACUCCUGCACACACAUGCAUGCUCAAACACUGUGUUCCCACAGUCACUUAAGCUCUUUCCCUGCCUCUAACAGUGACCAGGUGGGCAGACUUCAUACUUGUUUUUAAGGAACUAGUUUAUUCCUAAUACCAAAGAAGAAAGGACCUCUGCAUGCCAGACUGAAAUGACAUCUAAUUUGUGAGUGAUACUUCCAAAGAAGCAGAACCAAAACUGUGAAUACUGUCUGCAGCCUGGUAGCUCCGAAAGACAGACCUGGGACAAAGGGCGCUGGGAUUUGAAUAGACAGACUGAGGUCCUCGCUUUCCAGAAACUUAUUUUAGUAACUAAGCCUUGCAAAGAAACUUUUGAGGCUCCAAGGCCAGGGAUGGGGCUUUUAUCUCAUUUAACAUAUUAGAGGCAUGAAUCUUUGACCAGAUUACCUCCUAGUUACUAGGAGGUAACGAGGGUAUAGGAAUGAUUAUAGACGGACCCACUGUAAGAUCAUCCACUGGGUGCCAGAGCACUCUGCCUUGAUUCCCGACUCAUACAGAUUCCUUACUGUGCUGUAUCCUUACUGUUCAAUCCAGUAAAGCUUUUGUUAAAGAAAAAAUGUGAUACUCACCUAGCAGGGACCAGUAAUUUGGUGAAGGACCAAGUUAAUGGGUUUUAUUUCACAUUUGUGGAAGCUGAGGCAUAGUUAGAUUAAUUAACUUACCUGGGACCACACAGAUAAGAGGUGAAAGAUCUCGGCUUUGAAGCUAUAUAGCUCCAAAUCUCAUAUAUUUAACCAUUAUAAUGAAUUGUUUUAUCUCCUUCCGAAUGAGAUCAAGAAGUGAUUUCUUUCUAUCCCUUCCCUGUCUUUCACUGUUGCUCUCAGUUUAUAGGGCAUUGCCUUGCAUUGAGCAGAAAUUCAAAGAAUGAAUAUUGAAUAUCAUUCAAUAUUUUGAAUGAGUGUUUUUAAAAAGACACUCUUGAUGAACUUAAUCUUCUUUCCAUUGUCCAAAGAGAUCUUGCUCCAGGGCCUUUGAGGAAUUUUCAAGCAGUUUCUGGGAAGUCAGAUCUCUGCUUUAUCCAGAACAGUUCUGCUGUUUUCUCUGUUGUAUAAUACAUAAUCUGUUUUACAUAAGAUUCAUCUGAGAAGAGACUUCUGCUACGAAAACAAUUUUGAAGAUUCUUGUUAUAGAGAAGACUGUUCAAGCUACCCAAACUACUUCCUUUAUAUAUAUAUUUUUAAUUUUCUUUUACCAAGAUUCCUAAAGAAACAGAUAUUUUCAUACUUUUUUUGACAUUUAAAAAGUUGGGCCAUGAAAUCUUUAGAGGCAGGCCACUGGUAUUAAAAUAUUGAUGGUAGAAAAAAGAGAUAGAAAUUGGUGGUGACAAAGGAGGCACUACAUGAGGAAUAGAAGUUAUGCUCUUACUGCACAUCCUUGGAGAAAACACGAGCCAUGUUCCUGAACCUCUAAAUGUCAUUGCUGUCAAGGAAGAAGCUGCUGCAAUGGUUGGGACAGAGAUUGAUGAAAUCUUAGAGCAGGGGUCCGCAACCCCCAGGCCGUGGACUGGUACCAGUCCAUGGCCUGUUAGGAAAUGGGCCACACAGCAGGAGGUGAGCAUGGGCGAGAGAACAUUACCACCUGAGUUCUACCUCCUGUCAGAUCAGUGGCAGCAUUAGAUUCUCACAGGAGCGCGAACCCUAUUGUGAACUGUGCAUGCGAAGGAUCUAGGUUACGUGCUCCUUAUGAAAAUCUAUCAAAUGCCUGAUGAUGACCUGAGAUGAAACACUUUCAUCCUGAAACCACCUCCCUCACCAACCAGUUCAUGGAAUAAUUGUCUUCCCUGAAACUGGAACCUGGUGGCAGAAAGGUUGGGGACCACUGCGUUAGAGGACCCUGCCAGGCCUGGGUUCUGCUAGAUUCACUUUCUCAUUGCAUUUUGGCUCUGCUCACCUGUCACCUUCACAGAGGGUCAUCCCUGACAUUGCUGUCUAUAAGAAAUGUAUGCAUCUCACAUCAGUCUCCUUGCACUUAUUCUGCAAUUUUUUAAAAAAUUCCAUUUAUCUCUACCUGAAUUAUAUUAUGUUUGUGUUUUUUAUUUAUUGUCUGUCUCCCUACACUAGAAUGUAAGAUCCUUGAGGAGAGACACUUUGUCUCUAGUAUUCACUUCUGUUUUCUCAGUGCUGUAGACAAUCAAUUUUGUUUUCUGUUGAAUGGAUGAGUAAAUAAUUUCCAUAUUUUGAGCUUCUCUUGGGCAGAGCUAAAACUCUACAACUCUGUGCAUUGCAGAAAGGGUUUGGAACAGGCACUGGUCUAUGUUUUUUUUCUUUUUUAGUUCUUUUCUAAGUGAAGCUAAAAAUUACUUUUCCUGUCCAGAAUAUUAAGUUUACACCAUGCCUCCAUAUUCACAACUAAUGGGGAGAUAGAAAUCCUUAGAAAUUAUAAAGUUAAUUUUUACUUAUAUUUAUAAGUUUCUUAAGGAAAUCGCCUGAUAUUCUCAGGCAUUGUAAAGCCUCAUUUAUUUAGCUCUCAUAAAUUACACCUCUCUACACAUAAGAAUGGGGUUUUAGCCAAAUUCUACCAGAUGUACAAAGAAGAGCUGGUACCAUUCCUAAAGAAACUACUUCAAAAAAUUGAGGAGGAGGGACCCCUCACCAACUGAUUAUAUGAGGCCAAUGUCAUUCUGAUAUCAAAACCUGGCAGAGAUACAACAAGAAAAGAAAACUUCAGGCCAAUAUCUUGAUGGACAGUGAUUCAAAAACCCUCAACAAAAUAGUUGCAAACCAAAUCCAGCAGCACAUCAAAAAGCUAAUCCACCAUGAUCAAGUAGGCUUCAUCCCUGAGAUGCAAGGUUGUUUCAACAUAUACAAAUCAAUAAAUGUUAUUCAUCACACAAAUAGAACUAAAGACAAAAAUUACAUGAUUUUCUCAAUAGAUGCAGAAAAAGCUUUCAAUAAAAUUUAACACUCUUUCUGUAGUCCCAGCUACUCGGGAGGCUGAGGCAGGAGAAUGGCGUGAACCCGGGAGGCGGAGCUUGCAGUGAGCGGAGAUCGCGCCACUGCCUCCAGCCUGGGCGACAGAGCGAGACUCCGUCUCAAAAAAAAAACAAAAAACAAACAAACAAAAAUUAACAGUCUUUCAUUUAAAAACUCUCAACAAGCUAGGUAUUGAAGGAACAUACCUCAAAAUAAUAAGAGUCAUCUGUGACAAACCCACAGCCAACAUUAUACUGAAUGGGCAAAAGCUAGAAGUAUUCCCCUUAAAAGCCAGCACAAGACAAGGAUGCCCUUUCUCACUACUUCCACUCAAAAACAUCAUGAUACUGGUACAAAAAUAGGAACAUACACCAAUGGAACAGAAUAGAGAGCCCAGAAAUAAGGGUACACACCUAUGACCACCUGAUGUUUGGCAAAGCUGACAAAAACAAGCAAUGGGGAAAAGACUCCCUAUUUAAUAAAUGAUGCUGGAAUAACUGGCAAACCAUAUGCCAAAGACUGAAGCUGGACCCCUUCCUUACACCAUAUGCAAAAAUCAACUCAAGAUGAAUUAAAGACUUAAAUGUAAAACUCAAAACUAUAAAAACCCUGGAAGACAACCUAGGCAAUACCAUCCUGGACAUAGGAACGGGCAAAGCUUUCAUGACAGGACACCAAAAGCAAUCGCAACAAGAGCAAAAAUUGACAAAUGGGAUCUAAUUAUACUUAAGAGCUUCUGCACAGCAAAAGACACUAUCAACAGACUAAACAAACAACCUACCGAAUGGGAGAAAAUUUUUGUAAACUAUGCAUCUGACAAUGGCCUAAUAUCCAGCAUCUAUAAUAAACUUAAACAAAUUUAUAAGAGAAAAACAACCUUAUUAAAAAGUGGGCAAAGGACAUGAACAGACACUUUUAAAAGAAGAAAUAUAUGUGGUCAACAAACAUAUGUAAAAAAGCUCAAUAUCACUAAUCAUUAGAGAAAUGCAAAUAAAAACCAUAGUGAGAUACCAUGUGACACCAGUCAGAAUGGCUAUUAUUAAAAAGUCAAAAAACAACAGAUGCUGGUGAGAUUGUGGAGAAAAUGGAACACGUAUACAUUGUUGGUGGGAGUGUGAAUUAAUUCAACCACUGUGGAAAGCAGUAUAGUGAUUCCUCAAAGAGCUAAAAGCAGAACUAUCAUUCGACCCAGCAAUCCCAUUACUGGGUAUAUAACUAGAGGAAUAUAAAUCAUUCUACCAUAAUGACACAGGCACACAAAUGUUCAUUGUGGCACUAUUCACAAUAACAAAGUCAUGGAAUCAACCUAAAUGCCCUUCAGUAACAGACUGGAUAAAGAAAAAUGUGGUAUAUAUAUACCAUAAAACACUAUGCAGCCAUAAGAAAAGAACAAGAUCAUGUAUUUUGUGGGAACAUGGAUAGAGCUGAAGGUUAUUAUCCUAAGCAAACUAAUGCAGGAAGAGAAAAUAAAAUAUCACUUAUAAGUGGCAGCUAAUUGAUGAGAAUGUGUGAAGAUAAAGAAGGAAAGAACAGACACUGGGUUCUACUUAAGGGUGGAGGGUGAGAGGAGGGAGAGGAGCAGAAAAGAUAGCUACUUGGUAUUGGGCUUAAGUCCUGGGUAAUGAAAUAAUCAAUACAACAAACCCCCAUGAUGUGAGUUUACCUAUGUAACAAACCUGCACAUGUAACCCUAAACCUAAAAUAAAAGUUAAAAAAUAAGAUAAAAUAAAAUGAAAAUAUUACCUACCAGGCAGAUAUACGGUGAAUAUUUAACAAGAUAAUAAUGUAUACUACUUAGUACCUUGAAGGCCAGUUUAUAUUUGAAAUAUAGUUAACUUUUCUCCACCAUCAGCUGGCAUGCCUAAAUUGUGUUAUUUCAAAUGCUGGUUUUCCUGGGUACUAAUAGUGCUGUAUAUAAAAUGAUUCCAUGGUCAAAUACAAAAAAAAAAAUGAGGCCUCAUUCCUUUAUCCUUUCUAACAUCUUUGGCUAGGCACAAAAGGAUUUCCUUGGUCCAGGAUUUGAUAUCUCACAAAUGGAAAGAUAUGAUUUCUCAUUUUGUGAGUGAGGAGGAAGACUGAGAUACUGAUAAUUCUCUGCUUUUAAAUUACUUUAUUAAAAACAAGAUCUGUGACUGAUGACACAUCAUAAAUUAUCUAAGAGCCAACACUCCUCACCUAAUAAAUAUUAUUUUUUUCUAAGAUAAUUUACAUUUCUUAUGAGUUAUGAAGAUGACAUAUUUGUCUUAUUUAUAUUACUUUUGACCUUAUUUGAUACAAAAAGUAAUCCAGGCAGGAUAUUGUUAAGAAGUAGUUGGUUUAUUUCCAAACCUGCUUAUGUUAUAGGACCUGUUAUAUUAACUUAGAAAGUCUAUAUCUGGACCAGAUCAACCAGCUCUAA
rnacentral:lncRNA from 1 species